rnacentral:lncRNA from 1 species
GAUGAACUAAUUGCUAUACGAGUAUCAGAGAAAAAUAACGCAGCAUGAGAACACAAUAGAAGGCCUUGUAUUAUGAUCCAGGGAAGAAAAAGACAAACCAUCUAGGAUUUAGAAAUCCAUUUGGCUCACUGAUUGUGUAGGAAACCCUACAUUUUAGUCGGUUGCUUAGACUUCAAGUCAAUAGUUUCUAUAAAAUGCAUGGGACCAAACCUUGCUGCCUUACACCACUCAUCCGAAGCCCUAGUUUCUAUAAAUCCAUUGAAACCCUUCUGCUCAUAUCUUCUUCAUAGCCAUCUGAAGCCCUAGUCACAUUUAUUAGUUUCUAUAUAUUCAUCCGCCUGAAACCCUAAUUCAUCAUCAUCUCUUCUUUCCUCAAACAACUCUUUCCAAAAUCAAGAAAAGCAAGAAACAUGCAGCAAGCGUCUGCAAUGGAGGAGAUCAGAAACAAUCAACUUCCUGGUGUGAGGUUCUGCCCUAUGGAGGACGAGCUUCUUCUCUUCUACCUCAAGCCGAUGUUGAGUGGACAGAACGUGCUCGGCAGAAACAAGGUCGUCUUCGAUUGCGAUCUCUACGGUCAGCAAGAACCUUGGGAGAUAUGGGAGGCUUACAAGACCAAAAGACCAAACGACUUGAGGCUCCACAAGGACCUCUACUUCUUCACCCAACACAAGAAGAUGAAAUCCACAGACAAACGCAUACGCCGCACCGUUGGAAGUGGCACCUGGAAGGGAAACGACUCCGGGAAGCCAGUAAAAUCUUCCGGUCGUAAGAUUGGUUUGAAGAAAAGAUUUACCUACGGGAAUGAAAAAUCGAAGCACCACGGUUGUUGGAUCCUGCAUGAGUUCUACCUUGAUCCGUCACUCAGAGAUAAGAAAGAGAAGGUGAAAGACUAUGUUCUUUGUGUGCUACGAAAAAACGAUGAAUCAAAAAGCAAGAUCGAAAAGAAGAGAAAGCAACGUGAGGAGGAAGACUUUCUUGAUGAAAAUGAUGCAUGUGAUGAUGGAGAACAAUCAAAUAUGGAGCAAGAAGGGUUGCUUGAGACACAAGCGAAGCGACAACGAACCGUCUGCCCAGUACCUACGCCAUCAGAAGUUGAUGCAUUCAUAGCUUCGCUAGAAGGGUCAAUGGAAUGCGUUCAAGAUGAUAACUCACCUCCAUCGGAAGCUGAAGCAAUUGGCUUUCAAGGUGUGGAGGAUGGGGGACUCCAACAAUUAGCUCUUGAGGUGCAAUCAGGCCCUUCUUUUGUUCCACUGCCGGAGGAAGAUUUUCUCAUGGAGCAAUGUUUUGAAGAAUUACGUAACUACGAAGAAAGGGAAGAACAAGAUCCAGCGGGGAGCAACAAUGUUUGUGGACCGCCAGUACCUACGCCAUCAGAAGUUGAUGCAAUAUUCAUAGCUGAGCUAGAAGGGUCAAUGGAAUGCGUUCAAAAUGAUUUCUCACGUCCAUCGAAAGCCGAAGCAAUUGGCUUUCAAGGUGUGGAGGAUGGGGGAAUCCAACAAUUAGCUUGUGAGUUGCAAUCAGGCCCUUCUUUUGUUCCACUGCCGGAGGAAGCUUUUCUCAUGGAGCAAUGUUUUGAAGAAUUACGUAACUACGAAGAAACGGAAGAACAAGAUCCAGCAGGGAGUAACAAUAUUUGUGGAGGAUUGAUUGACCAUAAUAGUGAUGAUUGGAUAAACUCAAUCAGUUUUAGUCCUGAGGAUAACGAUUUCGUUUCAUGUGAAAUGCUAUCGUCUUUCUUUGCUGACACUGCUGGCCUGCCAUAGUUAUGCAGCGAGGGGUAAAACCUGAGGGUGACAGAUUGACAGACAGCGGAGUUAGUGAAUGACGUUGUUUAAUUUGUUGCACCUUCUUGUUUCCUCUUCUUUUUGUAAAAUAUUACUGAAAUCUUCAGAGUUUCAAUCAAAGUGAAAAAUGAGUACAUUUCAGAUCUUUUUGUUCUCACAAUCUGCAUGUCUUAAUCAAACAUUUAAACCUAUAAACUUCAGCUUUUGGUACUUACAUGAGACGUCUCAUUUACAAAAGUUCAAAUGCGCGCAGAAGGCAUGUACCUCAAUUACUACCUUGAUUGAGCAAAAACACAUGUUAAGGAAAACUGCAGAAAGAUGAAUUAAAUCUUUUCAAAAUAGAAUUAGCUUAAAAAGUAAUACAUAAGGACGUACUAAUACAUUCUUGAAGACUUUAAUGUAACAUUCCCAAUAUCAGAUGGUGGCAGCUGUUACAGUGUUACAACACUUAGCCUCUCAUUGUCUAGGACCAAGAAGAUCGAAGAAAACACCUUAGCCUCUUAAGAAUAGGAAAGAGGGAAGCGGAAUGGUUUAAUGUUCUGAAGUAUAUGUUGUAUCAUUUUGAGAUUUUUACUUCUUUUAUCACCUUCCAAUCCCCCCUCCCCUCCCUCUUUUUUUGUUUCUUUAAUAGUUGAGGGUAAGUUCAUCAAAAGUAGUCUAACACAUGUACAAGGUGAUGUAUUUUUUUGAAUAAUGUUAGAAAAAGCCAUUUUCUUUAAAACUGGUAACUCUAGCUGCAUUAAUCUUGAGAUUGGUCGACAUGCAUCUGCUAACUUCUUGUGGUGAUAUAUAUCAAGAGCAACAUAACGUUUCUUCUUAAUAAAUGUUAGACCUUGUCGAAUGCAACUUCUGGAAAUGCAGCUUUGUAAUCAUCAUCAGUUGAUGAUAUAUGAAGCCUUAGCGUUUCUAUUUCUGUUAAAAACUCAAGAAUUGAUAACAGUAAGCAGCAUGGUCCUUUUAUGGGAGCUCAACAGUAAAACAUCAAUCUCCAAGAAAAAGAUGUACACAACUUAUUCGAUCAUAACUCAGAAACUACAGUAUUCAAAGCUCCAGUACACUUAACUUCAUUAGAUAUAGCAAAAAAAAACAAAAGCAAAAGACUGAUAAUAAAUCUUGGUUUUUCACAUGUUUCAGCAAUUCAGCUACCAAAUUCUGGUGAAACUAAUGUGUCCAAGUACACAACUAGUGAGUAAUAAAAGUACACAACAAAUGAUGCACGCCCGGAAAUAGUUGGAGACAGAAAAAUAGUCCUAUAUUUAUUUUCUUUGGGAUCAUAUACUACGUACUCCUUUACAUCCAUAAUCAUCAAAACUUCACCAUUCUCCAAAAUGUGCUUUGGCGUUAGAGACAUCUUGUAAGGUACAAUAUUGGUAGGAAUGUUCAUGAGCUUAGUCCAUGGUUUAUCCUUCCCAUAUUCACUCAUCAGCCAUAUUGCCAUUGGCAUAGAUCUGAUAGUACUGUAAGUGUAAUAGCGCGCAUAGACAAUUUCUGAUACUUCCAAUUCCAAUUCUAAACAUUGGUCUUCCGCACACAAUACGGCAUAGUUGCUCACAUUUCUCCUUUGCCAAGUCAAAUGAAAUGAUUCUAGUAGAGUUGCACUCUGAAUCUAGCCAAUGUAGUGCUCCAUUCACAAAGCACCCUUGUCCAUUCAAAUUAAUAAACUUGAAGUCUUCAACAGUCCUCCAUGAACCUGUUUUCAGUGUAAAUAUACCAAAUUUGGUUUUUUCAGCUACGCGACUGCUAUCUCCAAAUAUAAACCUGUAAUCUUCAGUGUUGGAGUCAUAAUCAAAUCCAUGAAACCAGAUUGAACCCUUGGUAAAAUUAUGUUUCGGUACUUUCUUAAUCACUCUAGUACUAGGGUUCCAUAUGAAAAUAUCAUGACGGUAUAUAUAUACCAUCAAACAUCGUCUCUUGCAAACAUAUCAAGCCAUUGGAAGAACCAAGAAUUAUGGACCGGCCAAGUAAAUCCUCUGCAAAAGAAUCUUGCUGACGAUGAACCUCCAAUCCUUGGAGAUCUACAGUUCUGGGACGACCAUAUAAGAGAUUCAAGAAUAGAAGCCUGAAGCUUCUGGAUGUGUCUGUGACUGCAUUGGCAACGAAACCAGUUGCUGCUGCGGGACUAGGCCCUCUGCCAUGUUAAUUAACGGUGAAACCUUAAAGCAUAAAGAGUGCGGUUAUUGUGACCUCCAAAUUUGCUCACUUGACCUUAUUUUGUUAUGAGUUAUUGAAUGACAAUUAUCUCCUCUUACGUAAUGACUAUUAUAGACAACAAUCAUACAAAAAGAAGUAUAUUUAUUCUCUUUAGACUUUGCAAUUCGAUAAUUAAUUGAUUGUAUUCUUUAUUAUUUUCUUUAUAUAUUUUUAGGUUCUAAUUUACUAUUUUCUAAAUUUUACUACAUAUUAUAUAUAUUUAAUUAAAGCUAAAACUAUGAUCAAUAUCGACAUAAAAUUUUCUAUUAUCAUACAUGUUGAAAGCAUAUAUAUAUAUACACAUAUAUAUAAAAUUUCAGAUACGGACGUCCGCACCGCCUUACGGUGCGGAUUUCUCUCCGUUCGCCACCGUACGGCGCCGGCGAGGGCGCACCUCCACCCCAGUGGACUCUAGCAGCUUCCCCGACCUCUUUCCACCCCGGCGAGUCCGCCGAAUUCCAGUUUUCCUGCCGGAUUGACUUUGUUUGAAGUUUUGGGUGAUCUUGCCGGAAAACUGGAAUUCGGCGGACUCGCUGGAGAUGGAAAGAGGUCGGGGAAGCUGCUGGAGUCCGUUAGGGUGGAGGCGCUCCCUCGCCGGUGCCGUACGGUGGCGAAAGGAGGGACAUCCACACGGUGCGAACGUCCUCACCUGAUAACGUCUGUAUAUAUAUACACACACACACACACACAAGGUGAAGGAAUAUAUAUGCAUGCAAAAACAAAUCAAUAAUGAAAAAUUAAAUAACUAUUGAAAUAAUUUAUGAUGUACAUAAAAUAGAGGGAUAAAAAAAACAUACAUAGUAUACAAUUGUUAUCCUUGAUCGUUGUUUAGAACAAUUAAAAAAAAAAACUAAUUUUAUGUUUAGAAUAUUUUCUUAUUGGUAAAUAAAGUUUUUUUUUUUAUCAGAUAAACAACUAAUAUGCUACAACGAGUCUACCAUAAGUCGAACUCACGACCUCUCGCUUAUAAGGAGAAACGGUAUUGGGCUGAAAAAUAUAAGUUUUUGAAACCCAAUACUUUGUGUUAUUUGAUUUUUAAGAGGAAAAUUGACAUCAUUGAAAAAAAUUUCAAACAAAUUGAUCAAAUAAUGGAGAUUUGGUGACAUUCUAUGGGAAAUAAAAAAUAUCAAGAGAGGUUUGAACGAAAAAAAAAUCAAGGAAUAGAGGUCUCGAUGAUAGCAUGCAAAAAGAAAAAAAAAAUUAAAAGAAUGAGAGGUCUAGAGAAUAAAUAAGAGGUAUAAUGAGUAAAUUAUCAAGAUACAUGUGAAUAACAUACCUAAGGUUAUUUUAGGAAUUUAAAAGGAGGUCUAGUGAGCAAAUGUUUGUAGUUAAAAUUAAAAAGGAGAUGUAAAUAACAUGAGAGGUAUACUAAGCAAAUUUGGAGAUCCCAAUAAUUAACCGCACUCAAGCAUAAAUCAUAAAAUUGGCCCUUGUAGGAUUUUUGCAUUCCUUUCUGAAGGAUUUUAUAAACACUAGCUCCACAACAAACCCAAUGGGUGUAGGAUUAUGUACCAUACCCUAAACCUUAAACCCUAAAUGAAAAUCCAAAAUAUGACAAACCCUAUAACCAAAACCUGCGAAAGCCAACUCUAGCCCUAGCUAGCCUACGUGGAGCUCACGAUGUGUUGGGAAAUAGUAACGUAAUGUAAAUGGCCUCUCGCAUAAAAUAAUUGCAAAUUGAGAAAAUUACAGAGUAACACAUGAUCAAAUUUAUAAACACAAAAAACCCAUUUACAAUAAUUUUUAGACAAAUUAAGACAUGAACUCAAUCCCAUAACCAAUAACAGCUGGCCUGACUUGAAUUUUUACUGCCGAAAUGACGAAAAUGUUCGGUUUCACCAUAAAUUUACAAAGAUGCCACUAAGUCUCCAUUCUCUUUUUCCUCACCCACCCCGGCUGACUUGAAUUUUUACUGCCGAAAUGACGAAAAUGUUCGGUUUCACCAUAAAUUUACAAUGAUGCCACUAAGUCUCCAUUCUCUUUUUCCUCACCCACCCCACUGAUUUGCUUUCUCUCUCUUCUCUCUCUCUGUCUCUCUCCUCUGAUCUGCUCUCCCUUUCUCUCUCUCUAGCUUUCCCUAAAUCAUCAACCAUGAUCCAUAAAUUCAUGGAUCGUAAAUCGCUUCGGCAUGGCUGUGGUGAUUCCGAUGAAGCCCAAGCUUGACUUUGCCGGCCGGCGAGAUCUGUAAGUAGCCUAAGCUCCUCUGUGUUUGAGGCAAUAGAACAUACUUCAUAUGCCGAUGUUGUCGGAUUGGUUGAUUAAGUUUAUUUUGCGGAAUUCCGGUGUUGAUUUGUGAGGUUUUGAACUAUGUAGGUUUUGGUCACCGAGGAGGUGGACGAGGUCGACGCUUUAAUCUGACUUUGUAAUCUUGUGUUGGAUCUAAGAUCACUAUUACUGAGUUGUGGAAUAAUUUGGCUGAAAUAAUGAGGUCUCUCUCUUCUUUCUCUAUCUCUCUCUCAGUAGCAGCAUAAACCUCCUCAGUAGCAGCACUACAAUAGUGAAUUAAACAAUGGAAGCAGCAACAGCCAUAGCUUUGCAAUCUGACAGUAGCAACAUUUCAAUAAUGAUCUAAACAAUAGCGGUAGCAGCUAACUUCAUGGUCGACAGUAGCAACUAGCUUCACAGUAAGCAGUAGCAGUAAGUUUCAUAAUUGGCAGUAGAAAUGGCAGUAGCACCUUUUGACUCAGCAGUAGGCAGUAGCACCUUCCUACUCAGCAGUAAUACCUUCUUACUCGGCAAACAGUAGCACAUCUCUCAAACAGUAGCUUACUCGGAAGGCAGUAGCACAUCUCUCAUACAGUAGCAGUAGAGUAGGUAGUGAAUGGUAGUUUGGUAAAAUAUGUAGUGACAGAUGACAUGUAGAUAUUAAUUUGUCCUAAUUUGUUAAUUUUUGUCCUUAAAUGUGUAAGAUAUUGUAUAAAUGAUGUAUUUGUAAACUGAAAUUUAGUUAGUAACUAAUAUGUAUUUUACUAUUAUAGAUUUGCUUAAGAUCAGAUUCAAGGGAAAAUAUAUAAACAGAAACCAUAUAGGAGUUGGAAAUCCAAUUGGCUCCCUGUUUGUGUAGGAAAAGCCUACAUUUUUCCUUUUCUUUAUCCAUGUUUGUGUAGGAAACUAUUGGCUCACUGGUUUUGUAGAAGGACCCUAACUUGGUUUCUUAGACUCCAAAUCAAUAGUAUCUAUAAAAUGGGAUCAAACCUCACUCAUAUCUACCCCACUCAUCCAAAGCCCUAGUUUCUAUAAAUCCGCUGAAACUCUAGUUCCUCAUCAUCUCUUCUUUCUUAAAACAACCCUUUCCAAAACCAAGAAAAGAAAGAAACAUACAACAAGUGUCUGUAAUGGAGGAGAUCAGAAACAAUCAACUUCCUGGUGAGAGGUUCUGCCCUUUGGAGGACGAGCUACUUCUCUUCUACCUCAAGCCAAUGUUGAGUGGACAGAACGUGCUCGGCCGAAACAGCGUCGUCUUCGAUUGCGAUCUCUACGGUCCUCAAGAACCGUGGGAGAUAUGGGAGGCCUACAAGACCAGAAGACCAAACGACCUGAGGCUCAAUAAGGACCUCUACUUCUUCACCCAACACAAGAAGAUGA